rnacentral:rRNA from 1 species
UACAGAGGGGGCAAGCGUUGUUCGGAAUUACUGGGCGUAAAGGGCGCGUAGGCGGCCUUCUAAGUCGAACGUGAAAUCCCUGGGCUCAACCCAGGAACUGCGUCCGAUACUGGAAGGCUUGAAUCCGGGAGAGGGAUGCGGAAUUCCAGGUGUAGCGGUGAAAUGCGUAGAUAUCUGGAGGAACACCGGUGGCGAAGGCGGCAUCCUGGACCGGUAUUGACGCUGAGGCGCGAAAGCCGGGGGAGCAAACGGG